UUGCAAGCCUUCCGGCAUGCUUGAGUUUAGGAGACUGCAUUCCUACAGUGCUCACUAGAUUAUUCUGAAGUGGUUUGAGGCCUUGCUUUGUCUCCCUCAGAGCACUGCCAUAGACACUUCAGACAGUU
rnacentral:snoRNA from 1 species